GCGCUCUAUAACAGAAGAUGAAAGAUCAAUAGAUACAGAUGCUCUCAGCUCUUUUCCUAAAAAAUGAUGCACAUUUUAAAAAGUCUGCUCUUUUUUCCAGCGAUAACUUGAACAAUAUUCAAGGAUAUUAAGAAAUCCUUGCACUUUUGUGGACGUUUUCAUAAGUCGUUUGACCUUUUGCAGGUUAUACCUAUUUGCUACAAUUUUAGCAAAAACAAUUAAAAGCACGGCCGUGACAUAGAUGUAUAAAUGAUGAAUUUGAAAUUGCAUAUUUUGUCCUUUGAGACUUGAGCGAUAUAAUCUACAAAAAAUAACUGGGCAAAGAUUUUUCCAAAAGUUUGUAACAAAUCUAAUAUUUGUAAUCAGAAAGGUAAGAUACUAAACAAAUAAAGUAAUUAUAAGUCGUAUUAAAGAUACAAAAUGAAAUGACCUAUAAAAAUAAGCUUAAUCAGUACUAAAAUUUACAAAAGAUGGCGUCGUAUUUUAUAUAGACUAUUAUAGUUAUUAUGGAGUUCACUGUUGAUAUAACAUGGGUUGCAACGUUACUGCGGUGCCUUAAUAGAGUUCUUUUACGUGUGUUUUCAUUACAACAAUAUUCAAAUGUUGAAGCAGCAUUGGAAGAGCAGAGAUGGCAGUUCAGGAAGAAAACAAGCAGAAAGAUGAGGGGAUGAAAACAUUGUGUUGGCUAAUAACACAUAGAAUGUUUUAUCAACUUUAACAUGAUAUGGACUAUUAACUGUUUGAGACGGAACAUCGUGUCUUGGCAUCAUACUCACGCAUUGCGAGUCAGGAGCACCGUCAGAAUGACAUCUAGCUACAUGGAAUAGAGUUAAAAAGAGAAAAAUGAUUACAGAAACUGACAUUUGUAGCUUAUGCUCGAUGAAUUUUUUUAUGUUUAGCGUCGAUGACAAAUGCUAAUAAUUUAUGAUCGUAAUUAUAAACAUCUGUCAUUCGUUUUUAACAUUUGCAUAUGUAUAUUAUCAUUGCACACAUCUCGUUAGAAAAAUGUCCGGCAGGGUUUCCUUUGUCAACGAUCGAAGCAACAUCGGGACUAAAUAUUUUUUGUGAAAAUUACAUAAAUAUGUUGUACAUGAACUUUGGUGGCAAUUAAAUCAAAUUCUUUAA